AACAUAGACAAUUUUACUUCACAUCUUAACCAAGCACAAAUCAAAAUCUUCCAUCUUUACAAGCAGGUGCCUUGCAUAAAAACUUGAACAACAAAGAAGAAUCUUGCUUGAGAGGAACCAUGAUCUUUUUUUGGAGGGAAGUGAUGCUAUUUACACUUUAAAAAUACUAAUAACAUGCUGAUCCCAGAUAUCACGAACCACAUCCGUGCCUCCUUGCAAGCCCACCACAGCGCCCGAUAUUAUCCACUCGGGAAGCUCUUGGGGUCUCCCGAUGGUUUCCGUGAAGCGCUCAAUGAGUUCAAGCGUGAUCUCAUCUUUGAAGUGAUGUAAAAAGGUGAAGGAGCAUAAGUUGUGAUCUCAUCACCUCCUGCCCUGCACUUGAACAACAGACAAGUUUAUGAAUUAUGAUCAUAAUCAUCAUUCAAAAAUUCAAUCUUUU